rnacentral:tRNA from 1 species
GCCACGGUGGUCUAGCGGUUAGAACGCUGGCCUUGUAAUCCUGGGGUCCCGGGUUCAAUUCUCGGCGGUGCCC